GAUCAAUAGCUUGUGAGAGGCAGUUUACUGGAACCUGGAGGUUCACACAGACGAGUCGAGGCAGCCCAAUUUGUUCUCCUCGGAGCUCAAAACCACUUCUUUCAGGCAAUGAUCUGAAGAGGGACACCUGGCCCUGAGACCAAACUGAAUGUUCAUCCCUCUAAGUAAAUGCUUCCAAUAGAUCAAAUGGUGGGAGCCCACAGAGAGCAAAGAAUGCCGAGACUAACACACUGGUGUGAUGGCCACGCCCACCUCCAGUGUGGACCCCACCUCCCCAGCAGGACAGCAUUUAACAAGCCAUGAGACGCUUGUUUUCACUGGUGAUUAAAGUAUGAGAGACGCCUUCUGCCUUCUUGCCAUUGGUUAUUUUUCUCCCACUUCCUGAGCUGGGCUGAGGAGAGACAGAAAAGAAGAGGAAGGGGAAACCCAGAAAGACAUGAGAAGUUCCUCCCAUCCUUGAACAGAUUUCUGUUCUGCUCUUGCAGCUGUGAAGCCAGGGCCCAGCAUGGCUGCCCUGCUCCACUCCCGUUCUAGUCAUGUUCUCUCUAAGACUGACAUUCUUCUGGACAGCCCUUGUUCUUUUCCUACUGCGUCUGAAGCACUUUGUCCAUCUGUGGGAGCAAAGGAAACAAGCAGUUAACACUCCAGCGCCUUCACCAGGAGAGCCCCACCUGCGCCCUUCUUUGCUAGGAGAGGAGAUGAGAACUUGGGAAAUGGCGCCCUACCAGCUUGGCAUGCAGAGGAAUCCGAGAGGAAGAGCUUCCUACUGGGAUUAAUCUCUGAGCGCCUCACCGUCCCAGGCUGGUUCCCUUCAGCCUGCCCACAGCUCCGGACAUCCUCCAUUCCUUCAGAUCUCUGCACUGGAACCAGCUCAGUGGAGUGUGUUUCCUGCUGGGACCCUGGCUGAUCAGUACCUGAUGGUCAUUUUGUGUCUUUCCAGCUGUCUUUUGUGCUAGUUCUCAAACUCGUGCCUUCUCCCAACUGCCCCCUUGGCUGUGGGCGCCAGCAUUUCCCAAGGACUGGGGAGUGACUUUUAGUCAUCUGUGACUGGUUGCUCCCAUUCCCUGAUCCCCCGCAAUCUGACAAGUCCCCACCCCCUGAGACUCUAACCCCACAGAAUCCCUCAUGCCCUCCCCCCCUUUCCCUUCUCAUGGCUUCUCCUUCCCUUUCACUCCCUUCUCACUGCCCACUCAAAGGGCUAUGACAAGACCAUCCUAACUAGACCCCCAGCCUCAAGGCUCCUUCUCUGAAUUCCUAAUUCGGCCUACGAUUUGCCGCCAGAUUAAUCUUCCGAAAGCUGGGGCUUUCACAUUUUUUGGCCAUGAUUCACAAUAAGCAAUGUAUUUUACUUCACAACCCAGCACACUCGUACAAAACUCACAAGGCAGUACUGCACUCUGAUAUUUUUUUAAGAUUUUAUUUUCCUUUUUCUCCCCAAAGCCCCCCUGUACAUAGUUGUAUAUUUUAGUUGUGAGUCCUUCUAGUUGUGGCAUGUGGGACGCCGCCUCAGCAUGGCCUGAUGAGCGGUGCCAUGUCGGUGCCCAGGAUCCGAACCGGCGAAACCCUGAGCCACCAAAGCGGAGUGCGAAUUUAACCACUCGGACACCGGGCUGGCCCCCCCUUUUUUUUGUAUUUAAGGUUUUUAUGAUGUUUGUUUAAUUAAUGACCCACGAAAUUGAGUUUGUGGCCCACUAAUGGGUCGUAUCACACAGUUUGAAAAGACUGCCCCACCACAGCUCUAAUUAUGUCAUACCCCAGUGAAAGCUUUCUGUUGUCCCCAUUGUUGACUGAAUUUAGUACAAGUUGUUUAACCUGGCAUUUAAAGUUUCUAAGGAGGACCCCAAUUUGACUGUCUAAAGAUUUCCCUCCCUACCUCCAUUUAUGUCAUUUAAACUCUCUGGGCCUUAGGAGUCUAAUAUAUAGGAUGGGAAUGAAAAUAUUUCCCCAGCCUGAAGGAGUUGAAGACUAGAUAAUCCAUUUAGUUUCCUCUAUAAGAACUAUGAUUCUGGGAUUGUAAGUGCCCAGUAUCCAGAAACCAAACAUGUCUCCUCUCUGGUCUCCAUAUCCUCCCAUGUCCAUGUCUUGGUUCAUUUGUCCUUUGGCCAUCUUCCUCUAUCUCCCUCUAUCUUUCAUGUUAAAUCCCGUCAAAUUUCAACAAGAGCAAAGGAUAGAGGGAAGAAAAGUCAGAACAUACUCAAGGAAUGCAACUAGUCCUCUAAGGGUGGAACCACUAAGGUUACACGCAGGUGAGAAGGAAGAGAUGGAACUAAAGAGGCGGUCUAGCUAGAUCAGCCAAGCCAAAAGCCUCAGGCUGAGAUUUCAACUGAAUUUAGAAGUCGUAGGGAUUCCGUUGAUAGUUUCUGAGCAGAUGUGACAUGAUCAAAGGUGAGGCUUAAGAAGACUGACUUGCCUUGAGCUGGGGACAUCAGAGGUUGUUUCAAACUUUUUUAAAAUUGCUUUUUCUCCCCAAUCCCCCCAGUACAUAGUUGUAUAUUUCAGUUGUGGGUCCUUCUUGUUGUGGCAUGUGGGACGCCACUUCAACAUGGCCUGACGAGUGGUGCUAUGUCCUCGCCCAGGAUCCGAACCGGUGAAACCCUGGGCUGCGGAAGCGGAGCGCCAACCUAACCACUCGGCCAUGGGGCCGGCCCCCAGAGGUUAUUUCAAUAGCAAAACUGACACAGCCUGAACGACACUGGGAUCAGGACAGGCCAGACCAGGGAUGGAUCCUAGAAAUCCAGACAGGCAGCACCUGGGAGGUUGUCACAGCCACCGAAGGGCCAUCCGGGGGAGCAGAAGGAAUAUCGUGUCUAAGGGGCAGACUCGAGCAGAGGGCCAAGUAGGUGGCUGGCUCCCGCCCACUCUGGCAACGUUGCACAGGGACACAGCCAGGAGCUGGGGCUUGGGAGCAGGAGGCCGGUCCCUGAGGGCUGGUGAGAGCCAAGCUUCUGGCAGAAAAGAAACGGAAUCACCCUUUCCUCAGUCCUGCAUGUGACAGUUUCUCUGCCCGCCCUUUUGCACACUGGUCUAUCUGACUCCAAAGCUGGAAGUCUGAAUGACACUAAACAACCACCAAUGUCUCUGAGGACAAGCAGCAAGUUCUCUCUCCUCCUGGGCCCUGGCACAUAUUUAUACAGAGUAAGCCUGGGUAAAUAUUUGUCGGAUUAAAUUGAAAAGGGGUUGUCCUUCCUAUCACCCCCCCACAUAUCACUGCCUGUUGUCUGCCUUCGGUGGGAGUUCAUGGUGUCCUGGGCCUUACGCUGUGUAACUGCAAAAACCUGAAAACCAAAGCUCUGUGGCUGAUUAUACUGAUACUGUGAAUUCAUUAACCUAAAGGGAUUUCUAGAUGAAAGGCUUAAGGUGCAGCUUCAAUGACUGAUGAUGUGUGCACGGCCAAGGGACAAGUGAGUGUUACUGUCAUCUUUCAUCCCAGAGGCCUUGGGGAGCAGUGAGAGCUCAGCUUGGCAAUGUGGUGAAAUGUGAACGAUAAAUCAUCGUGAGAUUUGUUUUCCCCUCGUGCAGAGGGAGAAACCAGCACUAUUAUUAUUUCUCAUUUCACGUGCUCUCUUCCAGGUGUAUCAUGAACAUCUGGGUCCCCGCUGCCCCAAGGUGCUCAGUAGAUGGGUAGUGCCACUCAAAGAGCAGCCAUGGAGGGAGGAAGCCGAGUCUCGGGCUGGAGCUGCCAGGAUCUGUGUGGGUCCCACUGAAGUCCGGCAGCCCCGCCAGGAGUGCAAGAAGCUGGCUGUGGUCCCUCUGGAGCAGUGCACUCCUGGGGUAAACAAGCAGUGUUUGCCAGGAAAAGGGUAUGGAACUGUUUCUCUUGGUAAAGUCUCCAAAAACACGUAUUAUUUGGAAUCCCUGGCUCCUAGUUAUUCAAACACUUACCAAAAGCACCUCUGCCAGCAGGGAAGUAGAGGAAAGGCAGGCAAUUACACUUCUGAGGCUCCUAGGAUAUUAAAAAAAGGUAUAAAUGGCUAAACAGGAUUUAAAAACCAUAGUAUAUUUUAAUGUUUGUGUUUUUAAAAUUAAAGUUGUAUGAUAAAUAUUGUCUUCUUUCCCUCCUGUUAGGAAAACUUUGCGUCUGAAUCAUAACCUCAUUGGCAGAUAGCUCAAAAGUCUAAAUUUGAGGCUCUUCAUGAAUACGGGACCUGGAUGUCUUGCCCCCUAAUCCUACCCACGGUUCCCCCCUUGUCUCCUACCAGGCCCUGAGGUCCAGAAUACAGCUCAUUAUGGUUUUGACUAAUACCAGACUGUCCACUGCUCCAUUCAACCACAGAGGCUCCCUUUGACCUCAAAUCGAGCCUGAGUUUCCAUCAGCCCCGGGGCUGCCCCGCAUGCUAGACUCUGUCCUUGUCUGAAGCAAGUCUCCUGGGUCGUGAGAGCCUUUGCUGCAAACUCAGCCAAUAAACCAUGCUACUUGGCUUGAGUUCUCUCUCUGAUUUCCCCACAUGCACUAAAAUUGUGAGAACUCUUUAUUUCUAAAUGCUCGGACACGUUCACCUGUAGCAACAGGGAAAGAAGGAAUUCCCCAGAGACACUCUUUCGCUUGGGCACAUGACAAUUGCCUUCAAACCCAUGGGGCCAAGAAUAGGAGGUGCCCGGACGUCCUAAAACAGAAGCGCCUGAUUUGGUUUCCAUUGUAAUAAUACGAGGCACCGCCAGCACCCUCUUUUGAAAAAUGGCCAAAGGGACUUAACCCAAAACAUUAGCACAUCUGCCUACGAGAUUUUGACUUUAGGGAGCAAUGGUCAGAGGGACCCGUUUCUUCGGAAUGGGUGAAUCUGCUUCUUCUCCAGCUUUGGGGGGACCCAAGCUGGGGGCUCCUACAAGGCCAACUGACUUCCAAGUCAAAAUCUAGUUGGGUGUUCCUUACUGAGACCUUUCCUCUAAGAAUUUCAAGUCUAUUUUAAAAGAAUUAAGGAAUU
ensembl:lncRNA